rnacentral:rRNA from 1 species
UACGUAGGGGGCGAGCGUUGUCCGGAUUUAUUGGGCGUAAAGAGCUCGUAGGCGGUUUGGCAAGUCGGGUGUGAAAACUCCGGGCUCAACUCGGAGACGCCACUCGAUACUGCCAUGACUUGAGUCCGGUAGGGGAGUGCGGAAUUCCUGGUGUAGCGGUGAAAUGCGCAGAUAUCAGGAGGAACACCGGUGGCGAAGGCGGCACUCUGGGCCGAUACUGACGCUGAGGAGCGAAAGCGUGGGGAGCAAACAGG